rnacentral:rRNA from 1 species
AUGGGUCAAGCCUGACAAGCGUAAGAGAAGUCUUAUUGUGAGGGCGAGUUGUAAAACACCAAAGGGCUGGCCGUCCCAUAUGAAAAGAUUUUAUUAGAAUUGAAUGAAACUUUGUUUAUAUAUUGAUAAUGACAGUAUACUUAUGGGGUCUUGACUAAUUGCGUGCCAGCAGUCGCGGUAAUACGUAAGAGACUAGUGUUAUUCAUCUUAAUUAGGUUUAAAGGGUACCCAGACGGUCUAUAUAGCUUAUAAAAUGUUAGUAUAAGACUAGAGUUUUAUGUAAGAGGGCAGUACUUGAGGAGGAGAGAUGAAAUUUCGUGAUACCAAAGGGACUCUGUAAAGGCGAAGGCAGCCCUCUAUGUAAAAACUGACGUUGAAGGACGAAGGCACAGAGAACAAACAGGAUUAGAUACCCAAGUAGUCUUUGCAGUAAAUGAUGAAUGCCAUAGGUUAGAUACUUAAUGUGAGUAAAUCCCUCUAUACUCAAAAAAAUAUUUGGUCUAUAAAUGAAAGUGUAAGCAUUUCACCUCAAGAGUAAUGUGGCAACGCAGGAACUGAAAUCACUAGACCGUUUCUGACACCAGUAGUGAAGUAUGUUAUUUAAUUC